rnacentral:rRNA from 1 species
CGACCGGCAGAAGGGUGCGUAACACGUGAGCAACCUGCCCGUGACAGGGGGAUAACCGAUGGAAACGUCGCCUAACACCCCGUAACAACUUGGAGGGCAUCCUUUGAGUUUGAAAAUUCCGAUGGUCACGGAUGGGCUCGCGGGACAUUAGCUAGUUGGCGGGGUAACGGCCCACCAAGGCGACGAUGUCUAGGGGUUCUGAGAGGAAGGUCCCCACACUGGAACUGAGACACGGUCCAGACUCCUACGGGAGGCAGCAGUGAGGAAUAUUGGACAAUGGAGGCAACUCUGAUCCAGCCAUGCCGCGUGAAGGAUGAAGGCCCUAUGGGUCGUAAACUUCUUUUGUCGUAGAGCAAUAAGGUGUACGUGUACAUCGAUGAGAGUAUACGACGAAUAAGCAUCGGCUAACUCCGUGCCAGCAGCCGCGGUAAUACGGAGGAUGCAAGCGUUAUCCGGAUUUAUUGGGUUUAAAGGGUGCGUAGGCGGACGUAUAAGUCAGCGGUGAAAGGUACCGGCUCAACCGGUGAGCUGCCGUUGAAACUGUGCGACUGGAAUGCGGAUGCCGUGGGAGGAAUGUGUGGUGUAGCGGUGAAAUGCUUAGAUAUCACACAGAACACCGAUUGCGAAGGCAUCUCACGAAUCCGUUAUUGACGCUGAGGCACGAAGGCGUGGGGAUCAAACAGGAUUAGAUACCCUGGUAGUCCACGCGGUAAACGAUGAUGGCUAACUGCCGGCGAUAUAGUGUCGGUGGCCAAGCGAAAGCGAUAAGCCAUCCACCUGGGGAGUACGACCGCAAGGUUGAAACUCAAAGGAAUUGACGGGGGCCCGCACAAGCGGAGGAACAUGUGGUUUAAUUCGAUGAUACGCGAGGAACCUUACCCGGGCUCGAACGGCUGAGGAAUGAAUAGAGA